GGGUCCGAGCUGCAUUUGGAUUAGCCGAUCUGGAAGUUAGCAAGUUAGAAACAGGCAAAGACAAUGACGGCUCUUGGAUGU
rnacentral:pre_miRNA from 1 species